GCCGAAUUAGCUCAACGGUAGAGCAACCGCCUUGUAAGCGGUAGGUUGUCAGUUCGAAUCCGACAUUCGGCACCA
rnacentral:tRNA from 1 species